rnacentral:tRNA from 1 species
GGGUCGUUAGCUCAGCUGGUAGAGCAUCGGACUUUUAAUCCGCUGGUCGAGGGUUCGAGCCCCUCACGACCCACCA